UUUAUUUGGAUCUUUCRCUAAGCUUAAUCCUAACUCUGAAAGUCUCGGGUGUGUAUUUGAAGGRUUUGGGAUAAUUAAGCUGUCUCUCUGCUGCAUUUCACUGCGAUGUAACCUUUCCUGUGCCUCCAUCUUAAGGUUCUUCUUCUGUUGUAUGUCACUUUGCUGCCGUAUAAGGUGUUUGAGGAGACUGUUCUGUGAAUCUCUCCUGCUCGCUGCCUGUCCGGAAAGUGGAUGUUCACAAUGUAUUAGAAACCUGAUAGUCUCUUCUUCCAAGCUCAUUUAAGACAAGAAAUG